rnacentral:lncRNA from 1 species
CAUCGAAGUAGAUGAGCAGACCAAAGCUGGUCCGUCAGUGAUAGCCCAGCAUCGAACCUCUGCCAUCAAAGGUAGUAAGAUUACUCUCACUAGAAAGCUUCCCGAAGAGAUUCCACAUCUUGAGAAUAAUAUUAAUUUUAAUAAUAUUAUUAAUAAUAUUAUUAAAAAUAAUAAUAUUAUUAUUAUUAAUUUAAUAAUAUUAAUUAAAUAUUAUAG